rnacentral:rRNA from 1 species
UAAUACGGAGGGUGCAAACGUUGCUCGGAAUCAUUGGGCGUAAAGCGCACGUAGGCGGCAUGUUAAGUCGGAUGUGAAAGCCCAAGGCUCAACCUUGGAAGUGCAUUCGAAACUGGCGUGCUUGAAUAUGGACGAGGGUCGCGGAAUUCCCGGUGUAGAGGUGAAAUUCGUAGAUAUCGGGAGGAACACCAGUGGCGAAGGCGGCGACCUGGGCCAAUAUUGACGCUAAGGUGCGAAAGCGUGGGGAGCAAACAGGAUUAGAUACCCUGGUAGUCCACGCCGUAAACGAUGGAUGCUAGAUGUGGUGGGUAUUGACCCCUGCCGCGUCACAGCUAACGCAAUAAGCAUCCCGCCUGGGGAGUACGGCCGCAAGGCUA